rnacentral:rRNA from 1 species
UACGUAGGGGGCAAGCGUUGUCCGGAUUUAUUGGGCGUAAAGAGCGUGUAGGCGGCCAAGCAGGUCCGCUGUGAAAACUCGAGGCUCAACCUCGAGACGUCGGUGGAAACCGUUUGGCUAGAGUCCGGAAGAGGAGAGUGGAAUUCCCGGUGUAGCGGUGAAAUGCGCAGAUAUCGGGAAGAACACCCGUGGCGAAGGCGGCUCUCUGGGACGGUACUGACGCUGAGACGCGAAAGCUAGGGGAGCGAACGGG